CGAGUAGGGUCCGACUGCGUCCUGCGUCCUAGAAAUACACGCCCCUCGUGGGAAAUACACGCCCCUCGUGGGAAAUACACGCCCCUCGUGUGAAAUACACGCCUAUACAGAGUAGGGUCGGGGGCGUAAUCGGCCCUGAUUGGUCUGAUUCACGACGGCGUCUCUUCUCUUGUCGAACCUGCUCCGGAGAUGUAACGAACUGGUCGACAGCAGACAGCAGAAAGAUGAUUGCCUCGAUUGAUUUGAUCCAUCCAACUGUCCAACAUGGAUCUCUGAUGCAGCCAGUGCGGUUGGGACCCGAUUCUUACGGGUGCCAAGUUUGUAAAAAAAUGUGCGAUUACCCAGCCAUGGUUGCACAUCUUCAAACACAUGACAAAGCAGCCAUAUCUCACAAUGGCUACAAAAUCUAUAGGUGCCAACACAACUGUGCCAACACUAGAUCUCCACACUACCACUGUGUGUGCGCAACCAUUACUGGGAAAAAAGCGUCAUGCAUAAAGCACCUGCAGACCUGCCCUGGCAUGAGGACACCACCUCCAUCUCAAGGCCUCAGCACGCCGAGCCCAAUGCCAGCCACGCACCCGCCACCUCCGUCUCAAGGCCUCAGCACGCCAAGCCCAAUGCCAACCACGCACCCGCCACCUCCAUCUCAAGGCCUCAGCACGCCAAGCCCAAUGCCAACCACGCACCCGCCACCUCCAUC
ensembl:lncRNA